rnacentral:snoRNA from 1 species
AAUGAAUGAUGACAAAAUGUUUCGGUCCCAAAUGACAUGGAAUGAUUCUAUUUUCCCAUUUCUGACAUU